CCUACGGUGGCUGCAGUGGGGAAUAUUGGACAAUGGGCGAAAGCCUGAUCCAGCCAUGCCGCGUGUGUGAAGAAGGCCUUCGGGUUGUAAAGCACUUUCAGUGGGGAAGAAAGCCUUGGGGCUAAUACCCUCGAGGAAGGACAUCACCCACAGAAGAAGCACCGGCUAACUCCGUGCCAGCAGCCGCGGUAAUACGGAGGGUGCGAGCGUUAAUCGGAAUUACUGGGCGUAAAGCGCGCGUAGGCGGUCUGAUAAGCCGGUUGUGAAAGCCCCGGGCUCAACCUAGGAACGGCAUCCGGAACUGUCAGGCUAGAGUGCAGGAGAGGAAGGUAGAAUUCCCGGUGUAGCGGUGAAAUGCGUAGAGAUCGGGAGGAAUACCAGUGGCGAAGGCGGCCUUCUGGACUGACACUGACGCUGAGGUGCGAAAGCGUGGGUAGCAAACAGGAUUAGAUACCCCAGUAGUC
rnacentral:rRNA from 1 species